GGGGCCACAGGGUGGCCUUGCUGCCAAGACGGCAGGGACCUUUCGGGGUGGGCUGGGGAAACCCCCUGUGCUGUGAGGUGACCCUUCCCUGCUCAGCCCAGCUGCCUCCCCUCAGGGACGCUUGGGUGCUGUGGUUCAACAGACAGCGAACCCCGGAGAUCAGAGGAAUUUUGAAAGGGGGACCCCAGAGUCUAAGGGAUGGAGUGGGGAGGGGGCAUUCAGAGAGCAGGUCCCCUGGAGAGACUGAACAGGGGCUUUUCCACCAAGUCACCCCAAAUCACCUGGCUGGUUUGUUUUGGGGCCCCGCAGGUCUGCCUUUCGGGGGGCUCCGGGGUGAGGUGCCAGGAUGGCGAUGGGCGAGCAGCUGCUGCGCAUCCUGGAUGAUCUGACCAAGGAGGAGUUUGAGAAGUUCAAGUUUCACCUGCUCCGUGUGGGCACGGCUCCCCACAUACGCCGCGGGAAGCUGGACGGCGCCUCCCGCAUCCAGGUGGCUGAGCUGUUGUGGCAGCAAUACACCCGGAAAGCGCUAGAUGUCACCAGCCAGGUGCUGCGCAAGAUCCCAAGGCUGGACCUGGUCCAGGGCGGCCAGCUCCAGACAGGAGGAGAAACUGGGAACAGCGGCGACGAUGCAAAUCACAGUGAGGCUGCAAAUAGCGGCGCCAGGGCAGAAAGGAAGAUUCUGGUUUCAGAGCAGUAGCUGAUGAAGCUGGCAGGGAAAAUGGGCAAGACCUGGAGGCAGAUCGGCAUUGAGUUCCUGGGCCUGGAGAAUCACUGUCUGGAGCAGAUCGAGGAGAACAAUCCCGGCAACAUCAAAAUGCUCUUGGAGUGGAGGAAACGAGCGAGGCAGGACGCCACCAUCAAACGCCUUUGCUCCAUCCUCUCCCAGGACGAGGUGCCCCUCCAGCGCGAGGCCCUCGCCUGCCUCUGGGGCACACACAGUGCCUAAGGAGAUCUGGGGGGCUUAGUUCAGGGCAGCAGGUCUCUGAUCAGGGCCAGUGUUAGACACUCUGUGGCUCUGAGCCCCGCCUCCGGGGCUGAAGCUGAAGCCUGAGCAAUGUCCGUUGGCGUGGGACCCCAGGCGUUGCCCUGCUUGCUAGCCCCUAACACCGGCCCUGGCUUUUAUAUGCAGAAAAACAAUUGUUGUGGCACUGGUGGGCCAUGGAGUUUCUAUAGCAGUUGAGACCCCCUGGGCCAGGGGAUGGCGUGGCCUUGUG
rnacentral:lncRNA from 1 species